rnacentral:rRNA from 1 species
AACGAACGCUGGCGGCAUGCCUAAUACAUGCAAGUCGAACGAGAUCUUCGGAUCUAGUGGCGCACGGGUGCGUAACGCGUGGGAAUCUGCCCUUGGGUUCGGAAUAACUUCUGGAAACGGAAGCUAAUACCGGAUGAUGACGUAAGUCCAAAGAUUUAUCGCCCAAGGAUGAGCCCGCGUAGGAUUAGCUAGUUGGUGGGGUAAAGGCCCACCAAGGCGACGAUCCUUAGCUGGUCUGAGAGGAUGAUCAGCCACACUGGGACUGAGACACGGCCCAGACUCCUGGGGGGGCAGGAAGAGGGAAUUAUUGGAAAGUGGGCGAAGCCCUGACCCACCAUUCCCGGGUGAGGGAUAAGGCCUUUGGGUUUGUAAAGCUUUUUUCCCGGGGAGAAAAAGAAAAGUCCGGGGAGAAUAGGCCCCGCCAACCCCCGG